CCAGAUCUCCAAAGCUGCUGAUACUUCCAGCCUCAAGGUUAUUAAACCACGCCCGUGCUGGCCCCGAGAGUGUCGUUGGGAAUACCUUGCACAUCAAGGCAUUUGACAAAGUCUGCAGCUCCAUGAAAGUCUUGUAGUUCAAGACAUGCUCCCGGGGGUUUCCCGCUCCGUCGUAUGCGGCCACUGGCGGCAUCAUAAAUUUUUUGGGGACGGUCUCUUGCUGUACCCACUUCGAGAAGGGUGAAG
rnacentral:lncRNA from 1 species